AUUUAUGUGUUCAUAGCUCUCAUCCUAACCAUGUAGCCUGGUUAUAGCCUGACUAUGAAAUGAACUUGAUGACUCAUAAAGAUGGAUGUAAAUGGUCAGCAAUCGAGUUAUUUGUCCCAUGUAUCCUGUAUUCUUUUAUUUGGCUUUAAUUUUGAGGUGGAGAUCCGAGUUUCAGUCACCCAUUAUGAAAGUGCAAGUGUGGCCCUUUAUCAGUUAGUUUUGCUGACGAAGUCAAUCAUAGAAAAUCCUCUUUGCUUGGAAAACAAGGUGAGAUAUUUAUUUAUUUUUGCAUUUUUUCCUCAAGUUCUGCGUACUGGGUACUGAUGUGUCAGUGUGGCAGAUGGUAAAAUGCGUUGGUAAGAAUCAUUAAAUGAUUCGUCUGACAUUGAUAAAAGUAGAUCCCAUACGAGAGAAUGGAAAGAUGCAGUCAGAAAAUCCAAGUGAUGGCCCGGACUUUGUGUGGGUCGAAAUGAUGAUGUUUCUGGGUAAUGAUUGAGAACUCUGAUUAGGGUUUUGCUCGACAUGUUGAAAAAGCAACCUAUUUGCCACUUUGACAAAGAUGCGUGGAAUGAUCGAUAAACCACGGAAAUUUCUUCUUUUCAAGUCCAGGCAAGCCCUUAAUUCCCAAGUAUUACCCAGAUAAUAAUUGUUGUUACUGGAAACAAACGAGUGAUGUGAUACUGCUUGAAGCUUUUAAUGGCUGAUUCAUUUACUUGCGAU